rnacentral:rRNA from 1 species
UGAGGAAUAUUGCGCAAUGGGGGCAACCCUGACGCAGCGACGCCGCGUGAGUGAGGAAGGCCUUCGGGUCGUAAAGCUCUGUCAAAGGGAAAGAAAUGCAUAAUGGCUAAUACCUGUUAUGUUUGACGGUACCCUUAAAGGAAGCACCGGCUAACUCCGUGCCAGCAGCCGCGGUAAUACGGAGGGUGCAAGCGUUGUUCGGCAUUAAUGGGCGUAAAGGGCGAGUAGGUGGUAUGAUAAGUCAGAGGUUAAAGCCCACGGCUUAACUGUGGAAGUGCAUUUGAAACUGUCAGACGUGAG